CUCAGUUCGGAUUGGAGUCUGNAACCCGACUCCAUGAAGCUGGAUUCGCUAGUAAUCGCGCAUCAGCCACGGCGCGGUGAAUACGUUCCCGGGCCUUGUACACACCGCCCGUCAAGCCAUGGAAGCCGGGAGUGCCUGAAGUGCGUGAGCGCAAGCAGCGCCCUAAGGUAAAACCGGUGACGUGGGGCUAAGUCGUAACAAGGUAAC
rnacentral:rRNA from 1 species